rnacentral:lncRNA from 1 species
UUGAUUAAUCAUGUUCACGCGUCAAGUUGGACACCGUGCAGGUGCCUCACGGACAGGAUCAUGCAUGGAUCUCGUUUAUUUUCUUUUACGUGCAAGUCUACUCGUCGUCGCCGGAAACUUGCACUGGAUCGGAAUACAGAUUGCGUCAUAGCGCGGAACGGCUGCUCCCCGAGGAAACUACGAUUGGUGGCAUGUUCGAGCCAUGAUCGGAAAUUCGGAAUCACACAUGAAUCAACUGGAGACGUAUUGCAGAUUGAAUCGAUCGCCUCAUCAAUUAUC